ACUCCUCGCGGGCGCAGCAUUGAGCUUCCGGCCAAAACAGACUUUAUAGGCGCCUCGAGCGCACGCUGACUCUCGCGACGGGCUUGCCAAAAGUUCUGCAAAGGAAGCGCGAGUUGCUAUCACUCGCUGCUUGAGUCGCGGCCUCGGAGCACGUCGUCGUCAGAGACCAAAAGUUUGUCUCCAUUCCGUUGUUGAAAGAGAGCUCUUCUAUGGGAUGCUGCUACAACGACUCAGGAAAGCUUGGAAGGCGGCGGAAAGUCAAUCUUCUUAGUGGGCCAUUUUUGGUAAGCAGAACUGGCGAUGAGGGAUGCUCCUAACGUAUGGCAAAGGUGCCCAAGGGUAGUAGAUCAGAUACCACGAAAGGUGUUGCUUCAUUGAAACAGCAGGGCGGUGGUCAUGGAAGUUGAAAACCGCUAAGGAGUGUGUAACAACUCACCUGCCGAAUGAACUAGCCCUGAAAAUGGAUGGCGCUCAAGCUACUCACCGUUACCAUACCGGCUAUUCGAUGUAUUGAUGGCUGCGUAGGAGGGCGUGAUUCUAACUUUGAAGAGCGUCAUGUGAAUACGCUUGGAGUUAUAUUCAGUGCAGAUCUUGGUGUUAGUAGCAACUAGUCAUGUGCAAUGCAUGACAACUGUCGUGGAUCAGGGUUCCGAGCCAACAGUAAAUGUUCUCGGGUUAGUCGGUCCUAAGAGGGAGGUCUUCACGGCUUCAAACUGGCAAAGUCGUCAAAUCUCGAAAGGGGAAAAGGUUAAUAUUCCAUCACUUGGUCAUAAAAAAGUGGUGACACGAUAGCAAACUACUAGUCAAGUAAUUCUCCGAGAAGCGUUACCUUUGCUUCUGAAUUUAUCGAAAUUCUUGAAAUGGGUUGGCCUGCGACAGAGUUACAGAUAAUGAUCAACAGCUUAUUUGGGUUGUUCGGCAGCAAUUAUUUGGUCCCUGAAAAGCGGUUUGGUAAUUGUUGUGAUCAAUCCGUACCCAAAACCGCAUCAGGUCUCCGAGGUCAGAAGCCUAAAGUUUGAUAGAAUAAAGUGAUUGAGGGAAGUCGGCAAAUUGGAUCUGUAACUUUGGGAAAAAGGUUGGCUCUGGGCAUCAUUCCGCAACAAGGUCUCCUUGGCGAUCUACGAAUCACGGAUUUUUUUGAUAAUCCCAGAACUGGUGUUGACUAGAGGAAUCUGACUGUUUAAUUAAAACAAAGCAUUGCGAAAAGCUCAAAAGCUAUUCNUUGUGAUGGAAUUCACAUAAGCGCGGGUAAACGGCGGGAGUAACUAUGACUCUCUUAAGGUAGCCAAAUGCCUCGUCGUCUAAUUAAUGACGCGCAUGAAUGGAUCAACGAGAUUCCUACUGUCCCCAAUUACCGUCUAGCGAAACCACAGCCAAGGGAACGGGCUUGGCAGCAUAAGCGGGGAAAGAAGACCCUGUUGAGCUUGACUCUAGUUUAAUUCUGUGAAGUGGCUCAUGAGGUGUAGAAUACGUGGGAGCACUUGUGCGCAGUUGAAAUACCACGACUCGUGAUGUUGCUCUGCUUCCCUGAUGAUUUGAGACUGCUUUGCAGCGCUUAUUAUAAGUUUGAUGAUCGAAUAAAACUGUGCGGGAACAAAAUUAGAUGGGGAGUUUGGCUGGGGCGGCACAUCUGCUAAACAACAACGCAGAUGCCCAAAGGUUGACUCAAAGAGAACAGAACUCUCUUGUAGACCGAAAGGGGAAAGGUCAGCUUGAUUUUAAUUCUCAGUGCAAGUAAUAACUGCGAAAGCACGGCCUAUCGAUCCUUUAAGCCCAAAAAGACUUUGGCUAGAGGUGACAGAAAAGUUACCACAGGGAUAACUGGCU
rnacentral:rRNA from 1 species